AGAGUAGGUGAAGGACAGUGGGGAUCAGCCUCCCUGCCACCUGCCAUUGGUAAGAGGGGUCACUCUUUCCCCAGGAGUUUUUACCAUGCCUUGGCAGGAGUGCCUCUCUGUAUGCCAGGCUCUGGCUCUUUUGCAACAUGCCCAGUAGUUUGGGCAGAACCAAGGCAGCAAGACAGGAGGGGGUGGCCAGGCUGGCUUGGGUGGCAGGUGUGAGCAGCCCCCUUUUCAGGCACACCCUGGUGGCUGUGGGGGCAGCAGUCCUAGGCAGCCAGGACCUGGCCUCAGGAGUCUGGCUCAGGCUCAUUGUGGGGCGUAUGGGGAAGGCCAGGUUAUCUUUAAAUGGCAUCUUACUCAGUCUGUAGCUCUGCCAGCUGGGCAGGGUGGGGGCAGACAAAUGUUAUUUUGGGAACUGAGGAUAAGAGAGGAAGAAGGCUGUUUACAGCUCUCCUGUCUGUCCCUACUCCCUCUCCUGGGAAGAGUUUGGGGCCAUAGGCCUCAAUGCUCCAGCUGGCCCUUCUUGCCCUGGAGCCUGUUUCUAGCUUCGUUUUACCAUCUAUACAGGCUUGCCUAGACUUUCCCGCUUCAAAGCUAAAGACACCUACCAGUUGCCAUGAUGGGAAAGACCACACCAUGAAAGAAAAAAAGUGGCAUCUGAGUUCCUAGAAGAAAUCCACGUAUUCUACCUUCCCUUUAUUAGCCUUCCUCCCCCUCAUCAUCCUAUCCUAUAUGGUAAUCCUCAGCCCUCUUGGAGUUGAGAAGCUGAUUUGUGAGCAAUGCACCCUCUUCUCCAUUCUUUGACCACUGAAUAAAGUCUUUUUUCCAACACUCA